rnacentral:rRNA from 1 species
GUCAAGUAAGAAUACCCGCUGAACUUAAGCAUAUCAAUAAGCGGAGGAAAAGAAACUAACAAGGAUUCCCUUAGUAACGGCGAGUGAAGCGGGAAGAGCUCAAAUUUUAAAUCUCCGAGGUUUUCCUUGGCGAGUUGUAAUUUGAAGAGAGUGUUUUGACGUUCGGGUUCAAUCCAAAUCCUUUGGGAUAAGGUAUCAUAGAGGGUGAGAAUCCCGUUUAUGAUUGAAUCUCGAGUGUCGCUUAAUUCACUUUCCAAGAGUCGAGUUGUUUGGGAUUGCAGCUCAAAACGGGUGGUAAAUUUCACCUAAGGCUAAAUAUGUGCAAGAGACCGAUAGCGAACAAGUACCGUGAGGGAAAGAUGAAAAGAACUUUGAAAAGAGAGUUAAAUAGUACGUGAAAUUGUUGAAAGGGAAACGAUUGUAGUCAGUCAUGCUAGUGAGGAAUCAACCGGAUGGUGCGUGGGUUCUCCCUCGUACUUUCCGGUGCACUUUCUCACCCGGCAGGUUAGCAUCAAUUUCGGUUAUCAUAAAAAAUUUGAGAGAAUGUGGCUUUCCUUCGGGAAAGUGUUACAGAUCUCGAUCUAUGUGGUGACCGGGAUUGAGGAUUGCAGCGGAUACCCUCGUGGCUCGUCACCUGGCUUCUGACGGUUACCCCGCUUUCGAUAGCUCGCUAACGUUAGUGGGACUCGAUUGUCUAGAUGUCAGAGUGAUUGAUUUUCGCUAAGGAUGCUGACGUAAUGGCUUUAAACGACCCGUCUUGAAACACGGACCAAGGAGUCUAACAUGUGUGCGAGUGUU